UUUUUUUUUUUUUUUGUCCACUGAGGGGUGGGGGAAGUUGAGGGCAUCAGAUAUUUGAGAAGGUGGAGAAAAUAUAAAAGAGUCGAUACAAAUAAUCAAAACUAGUAGCUAGAAUGAAUACUAGCUAGGCAGAGCUGAGGGUCCAGUUAAGAUAGGUGGCCAUGAAUUCAAAUCUACAUCUAUCUGCUCAGCUGUGUGAUUUUCUUCAGCAGCAUUAAAGCUCUUGUUUGUUUGAUGGUUGUGGAUUUGGUAAAAUACUGAUCUUUCCCCUAUAUUGAGAGAAAUGUGAGUAAUCACAAAGAGGCCUGAUAAUAAUUAUGAGUAAUUUAUCAAGGCCCUUCCAGGGUUCCUCUGCAUAGGGUGGUUUUGGAUGGCUAGACAUUUACAUAGCACAUAGUGGCUUUCUUUUGUUUCCCAUCUUCCUGGUGAAUUGAGCCACAAUUUCUUCUCCUAAGCAUAAAUACCUGCAGACCUUAGUUACAGUCAUCCCUGUGAACAAGGGUGAGGGUGGAAAGGGUAAGGAAUGUCUGUGUUUCCUAUCACCAGGUAAAUGGGAUCUUGAUGCUUGGCAUGGGGUCCCAAGAGCUUGCCAAUACCCAUGUGUAUUAUCAAAAAAUGAGAUAAUGCCGCCGUCAAAGAAAAGAUCACGGCCGGGUGUAGUGGCUCAUACCUUUGUAUUUUAAUCACAUACAGGAUACAUACUCGUACUCAGAAUGUGAGUUCAAGGAUCAGUGGCACAAAUAGGGGAAAUGACCUCAAGUUCCAAAUGAGUGUUAAUGUAGUUCUAUUAAAGCGUCUGAGUGCGGAGAAAUCAUUUCUUGAAUUUUGCAGGGCAAGCAUGACUGCUUUGACUCCUUUUCGUGUGCCUCACAGCGUGCUUAUAAGCCACGUCUCCAGGGACAUACACUCAUUGUAAAGUGCCCCUAAUGAUAAUAAAGUGAAGGAUCUGCUGCAACUCAAAGGAAAUUGAAAGUGCUUUAAGUUCUACAUUCCAAAGUCAGAGCUAGAGAGGCAGGCUGGAUUUUCUGCUGAUGUGGAUUGCCUGCUGUUGGUUUGGGCCACGCUAGGUAUGAGGUAAUGUUUUAGAUUACUGCUGGGUUCUUCUGGGCCUGGCAACAUAAAGAACACGUCUAAUCAAUGCAUCAGCUGCUAUGGCUCAUUCACCUUCCUGCAGUGUUGUGUGGCCACAGCCUGUAAGAAUGUGACCCGGAAAUCCCCAAGUAGGGCCCUCGGGUGUGCCCGAGUCCCUCAUGCCCACCCAUCCACCCCUCUGCAUUCUAACAUUUCAGUGGUUGUGUUCAGGCAAAGUGUCUUCUGCUCAUGCUCAGGAGGAAGAGUUCACUUGACCUCCCUGUGGCUCAUUGCCCCUGAGGAUACCAGGGCUCUCUCAGCCUGGCUGCGUGACAACAGAGGGACACCAUUAUCAGAGAAACCACGGCUGAUGAGCAGCUCUAGGCCAGAGACGCCAAAUGCUACCUGGACAUGAAGAGAGAGGUCCCAGCAGACCCCCGGGGGACAGGUUUAAAUUAGGUUCCAGCCUCCCCUUCCUGGUGUCAGGAGUUACUCAUCUUGAUUUACUUAUCUUGCAAAGGAGCCAAGGUAUCCUGCUGUAGCUGCCUACUAUUUUCUGUCUCUUCCACAACUCCCAUGUCUCUUUUGGGUUUCUGCUCCACUUCUCAUGGGCUACUUGGAGUAGGAAGUAGGUUUCAAUAAUAAAAAAACUAAAUAAAACAAAAACAUCAUCUGAUUUGCCUCCAGCUCUGCCACAGACUAUUUGACCCUGGAAAAAUCCCUUCCCUUUUCUGACACUCCUCUGUAAAAUAGCCUGGAUCAGUAGCUUUCAUAUUGCAUUCUGUGAAGCUGCCAGGAGCCUGAAG
rnacentral:lncRNA from 1 species